AUUCCCGAUUACUUUCUUCAACGAGAAGACUAUUUCGCCGGGAAGUUCCACGAGUUCGGGGAGGAUCUGGUGGCCGCAGGGAAAACCUUAUUUGGCAAGCAAAGCUUUUCCUCCUUCCUGGGCCAGAUAGUGAUUUUCUGCCCCCAACAAAAACACUUGAUGAACUUGCUAAACUUGGAUUAGGAAAACCUGUGCAAGAUUCAGCAGACAGCCGCACAAACUCGAAGAUUGGGUUGAACUGGAGUCUAGCGGAAUUAAACAGCUUUGUUUGUCACAGCUACCCUCACAUAAGCUUAAAUUUGGUUGGGUUUGAAUUGGCAAGAACAGGCAAAGGACGCAAAAUCCAGAUAUUGAAUGUUCGUUCUGUGAGGGAACUAAAAACAGCUGUUGGCAAAAGCAGACUUUACAUCGUGCCACGAGCCACU